UUCCUUUCUUGCCUCGACUUGUUCCCGAAG
rnacentral:piRNA from 2 species